rnacentral:rRNA from 1 species
AGUGGGGAAUAUUGGACAAUGGGGGAAACCCUGAUCCAGCCAUGCCGCGUGUGUGAAGAAGGCCUUCGGGUUGUAAAGCACUUUCAGUGGGGAGGAAAGGUUGAUGGUUAAUAGCCAUUAGCUGUGACGUUACCCACAGAAGAAGCACCGGCUAACUCCGUGCCAGCAGCCGCGGUAAUACGGAGGGUGCAAGCGUUAAUCGGAAUUACUGGGCGUAAAGCGUGCGCAGGCGGUCUGUUAAGCGAGAUGUGAAAGCCCCGGGCUCAACCUGGGAACUGCAUUUCGAACUGGCAGACUAGAGUCUUGUAGAGGGGGGUAGAAUUCCAGGUGUAGCGGUGAAAUGCGUAGAGAUCUGGAGGAAUACCGGUGGCGAAGGCGGCCCCCUGGACAAAGACUGACGCUCAUGCACGAAAGCGUGGGGAGCAAA